UAACACGUGGGUAACCUGCCUUAUAGUAGGGGAUAGCCUUUCGAAAGGAAGAUUAAUACCGCAUAAGAUUGUAGUAUCGCAUGAUAUAGCAAUUAAAGGAGCAAUUCGCUAUAAGAUGGACCCGCGUCGCAUUAGCUAGUUGGUGAGGUAAUGGCUCACCAAGGCGACGAUGCGUAGCCGACCUGAGAGGGUGAUCGGCCACAUUGGGACUGAGACACGGCCCAGACUCCUACGGGAGGCAGCAUG
rnacentral:rRNA from 1 species